rnacentral:rRNA from 1 species
AUUGAACGCUGGCGGCAGGCUUAACACAUGCAAGUCGAGCGGGGGAAGGUAGCUUGCUACCGGACCUAGCGGCGGACGGGUGAGUAAUGUCUGGGAAACUGCCUGAUGGAGGGGGAUAACUACUGGAAACGGUAGCUAAUACCGCAUAACGUCGCAAGACCAAAGAGGGGGACCUUCGGGCCUCUUGCCAUCAGAUGUGCCCAGAUGGGAUUAGCUAGUAGGUGGGGUAACGGCUCACCUAGGCGACGAUCCCUAGCUGGUCUGAGAGGAUGACCAGCCACACUGCAACUGAGACACGGUCCAGACUCCUACGGGAGGCAGCAGUGGGGAAUAUUGCACAAUGGGCGCAAGCCUGAUGCAGCCAUGCCGCGUGUAUGAAGAAGGCCUUCGGGUUGUAAAGUACUUUCAGCGGGGAGGAAGGCGAUAAGGUUAAUAACCUUGUCGAUUGACGUUACCCGCAGAAGAAGCACCGGCUAACUCCGUGCCAGCAGCCGCAGUAA